rnacentral:rRNA from 1 species
UACGUAGGGCGCAAGCGUUGUCCGGAAUUAUUGGGCGUAAAGAGCUCGUAGGCGGUUUGUCGCGUCUGUCGUGAAAGCCCACAGCUUAACUGUGGGUCUGCGGUGGAUACGGGCAGACUAGAGGCAGGUAGGGGAGAACGGAAUUCCCGGUGUAGCGGUGAAAUGCGCAGAUAUCGGGAGGAACACCGGUGGCGAAGGCGGUUCUCUGGGCCCGUACUGACGCUGAGGAGCGAAAGCGUGGGGAGCGAACAGG